rnacentral:rRNA from 1 species
GACGAACGCUGGCGGCGUGCUUAACACAUGCAAGUCGAGCGAUGAAGCUUCUUCAGAAGUGGAUUAGCGGCGGACGGGUGAGUAACACGUGGGUAACCUGCCUCGUAGAGGGGAAUAGCCUUCCGAAAGGAAGAUUAAUACCGCAUAUGGUAGCUUUAUCGCAUGAUAGUGCUAUUAAAGGAGCAAUCCGCUAUGAGAUGGACCCGCGUCGCAUUAGCUAGUUGGUGAGGUAACGGCUCACCAAGGCGACGAUGCGUAGUCGACCUGAGAGGGUGAUCGGCCACAUUGGGACUGAGACACGGCCCAGACUCCUACGGGAGGCAGCAGUGGGGAAUAUUGCACAAUGGGGGAAACCCUGAUGCAGCAACGCCGCGUGAGUGAUGACGGUCUUCGGAUUGUAAAAACUCUGUCUUCAGGGACGAUAAUGACGGUACCUGGAGAAAAAGCCCCGGCUAACUUCGUGCCAGCCGCCGCAGUAACAC